GAUGAAGAACGUAGUAAAAUGCGAUAAGUAAUGUGAAUUGCAGAAUUCAGUCAAUCAUCGAAUCUUUGAACGCACAUUGCGCCCGCCAGUAUUCUGGCGGGCAUGCCUGUUCGAGCGUCAUUUCAACCCUCAAGCACAGCUUGGUGUUGGGACUCGCGUUAAUUCGCGUUCCUCAAAUUGAUUGGCGGUCACGUCGAGCUUCCAUAGCGUAGUAGUAAAACCCUCGUUACUGGUAAUCGUCGCGGCCACGCCGUUAAACCCCAACUUCUGAAUGUUGACCUCGGAUCAGGUAGGAAUACCCGCUGAACUUAAGCAUAUCAAUAAGCGGAGGA
rnacentral:misc_RNA from 1 species